rfam:Candidatus Paracaedibacter acanthamoebae isolate PRA3, complete genome.
CCAUCCAUGCUGCUGGAUGAACCUACGAUCCUGAAUCAAGAGCGGAUCGGACAACGCAGCGAAGCAUGUAAAUGCGGGAUUCAAAGCGCGAGCCAAGGAUCCUCCUGGUAGCCGAAACUAGGUGAGCGC